AGUAUCAAAGCUCUGGCGGUACAGGAUGGACCCGCGUCUGAUUAGCUAGUUGGUGAGGUAAUGGCUCACCAAGGCGACGAUCAGUAGCCGACCUGAGAGGGUGAUCGGCCACAUUGGAACUGGGACACGGUCCAAACUCCUACGGGAGGCAGCAGUGGGGAAUAUUGCACAGUGGGCGAAAGCCUGAUGCAGCAACGCCGCGUGAGUUAAAGGGCCUUCGGGUCGUAAAGCUCUGUCCUCAAGGAAGAUAAUGAC
rnacentral:rRNA from 1 species